UACGAAGGGGGCUAGCGUUGCUCGGAAUGACUGGGCGUAAAGGGCGCGUAGGCGGGUGCUCAAGUCCGGGGUGAAAUCCUCCAGCUCAACUGGAGAACUGCCUCGGAUACUGGGUGUCUCGAGGGUGGUAGGGGUAUGCGGAACUAUCGGUGGAGCGGUGAAAUGCGUUGAUAUCGAUAGGAACUCCGGUGGCGAAGGCGGCAUACUGGACCACAUCUGACGCUGAGGCGCGAAAGCCGGGGGAGCAAACGGG
rnacentral:rRNA from 1 species